rnacentral:rRNA from 1 species
CCUACGGGGGGCAGCAGUGAGGAAUAUUGGUCAAUGGACGCAAGUCUGAACCAGCCAAGUAGCGUGCAGGAUGACGGCCCUCCGGGUUGUAAACUGCUUUUAGUUGGGAAUAAAAGGGGGCUCGUGAGCCCCGUAUUGUAUGUACCAUCAGAAAAAGCAUCGGCUAACUCCGUGCCAGCAGCCGCGGUAAUACGGAGGAUGCGAGCGUUAUCCGGAUUUAUUGGGUUUAAAGGGUGCGUAGGCGGACUGUUAAGUCAGCGGUAAAAGCCCGGGGCUCAACCCCGGCGAGCCGUUGAAACUGGCUG